AGGGGUACAGCUCAGUGGUAGGGUGCAUGCUUAGUAUGCACAAGGUCCUGGGUUCAAUUCCCAGUACUUCUG
rnacentral:tRNA from 1 species